CAUCUUUAAUUCAGCCUCUCGUUUCGUUUCACUGCCGGGCCUAACACGUUACUGAAAGAGAUGAGCUCUGUGGACGGGUCGUCUGGAUACUGGACAGACAAUAAACUGGCAGAUUCAAACAAGUAGCCUAGUGUUUAAGAAUGUUGGGCCAAGUAUCCUAGUGUUUUAAGAACGUUGGGCCAAGUAGCCUAGUGUUUUACGAACGUUGGGCCAAGUAGCCUAGUGUUUUAAGAACGUUGGGCCAAGUAGCCUAGUGUUUUAAGAACGUUGGGCCAAGUAGCCUUGUGUUUUAAGAACGUUGGGCCAAUAGCCUAGUGUUUUAAGAACGUUGGGCCAAGUAGCCUUGUGUUUUAAGAACGUUGGGCCAAUAGCCUAGUGUUUUAAGAACGUUGGGCCAGUAACC
ensembl:lncRNA